CACGUAGGUGGCAAGCGUUGUCCGGAUUUACUGGGCGUAAAGGGCGUGCAGGCGGUUCGUUAAGUUCAGGGUGAAAGCUCCCGGCUCAACUGGGAGAGGUCCUUGGAUACUGGCGGACUCGAGGGAGGUAGAGGAGAGUGGAAUUCCCGGUGUAGUGGUGAUAUGCGUAGAUAUCGGGAGGAACACCAGUGGCGAAGGCGGCUCUCUGGGCCUUUCCUGACGCUGAGACGCGAAAGCGUGGGGAGCGAACCGG
rnacentral:rRNA from 1 species